rnacentral:rRNA from 1 species
GUCCACGCCGUAAACGAUGAUUACUAGCUGUUUGUGAUAUUACAAUAAGCGGCUAAGCGAAAGCGAUAAGUAAUCCACCUGGGGAGUACGCCGGCAACGGUGAAACUCAAAGGAAUUGACGGGGGCCCGCACAAGCGGAGGAACAUGUGGUUUAAUUCGAUGAUACGCGAGGAACCUUACCCGGGCUUGAAAUGCAUCUGACCGGCCAAGAAAUUGGUUUUCUAGCAAUAGCAGAUGUGUAGGUGCUGCAUGGUUGUCGU